CACACACAUAGAUUGUGUUAGAAGUGCACGGCUCACAACACACACACAUUUUCUCUAUUAUCUCAAGGCAAGCAAUAGAAGACUUGUUGUUCUCUUUCUCAAUUAAAUUAAAUUCGCAUGGCUAUCUUGGCAUGUUAAACAUAUGUUUACAUUGCCGAAGCGAGUGAAAUUGAUCAUUAACAAAAGUCAAAUAAACACUCACAAAAGUUUCAGAGGAAUAGAGACAUUUCAAAUGUCAUAUUAUGGCUGUAUAGUGUUGUAAUGAUAAGGCAAAUAGUUAAAUUACAAAAGGGAAAAUAAAUAAACAUAACUCUCUCUCCUCUCCCUCUGUUUAAAAAAUGUCUCCUCACUCUCCUCCUCCCUCUGUUUCAAAUCAGCCUCUUUCUCUCCUCUCCUCCCUCUGUUUCAAAUCAGCCUCUUUCUCUCCUCUCCCUCUGUUUCAAAUCAGCCUCUUUCUCUCCUCUCCUCCCUCUGUUUCAAAUCAGCCUAUUUCUCUCCUCUCCUCCCUCUGUUUCAAUUCAGCCUCUUUCUCUCCUCACCCUCUGUUUCAAAACCAGCCUCUUUCUCUCCUCUCCUCCCUCUGUUUCAAAAUCAGCCUCUUUCUCUCCUCUCCUCCCUCUGUUUCAAAUCAGCCUCUUUCUCUCCUCUCCUCCCUCUGUUUCAAAUCAGCCUCUUUCUCUCCUCUCCCUCUGUUUCAAAAUCAGCCUAUUUCUCUCCUCUCCUCCCUCUGUUUCAAAUCAGCCUCUUUCUCUCCUCUCCCUCUGUUUCAAAUCAGCCUCUUUCUCUCCUCUCCUCCCUCUGUUUCAAAUCAGCCUCUUUCUCUCCUCUCCUCUCCCUCUAUUUCAAAUCAGCCUCUUUCUCUCCUCCCUCUGUUUCAAUUCAGCCUCUUUCUCUCCUCACCCUCUGUUUCAAAUCAGCCUCUUUCUCUCCUCCCUCUGUUUCAAAUCAGCCUCUUUCUCUCCUCUCCUCUCCCUCUGUUUCAAAUCAGCCUCUUUCUCUCCUCCCUCUGUUUCAAUUCAGCCUCUUUCUCUCCUCACCCUCUGUUUCAAAUCAGCCUCUUUCUCUCCUCUCCCUCUGUUUCAAAUCAGCCUCUUUCUCUCCUCCCUCUGUUUCAAAUCAGCCUAUUUUCCAAGAAGAUUUUAUUAGCAGCAGCUGUCACUCACACCUAGUUGUUGCAUCUAAUUUUCUGGUGUAUGUAUGUGAGAGGGAGCUUCUUCUAAAGUGGGACUGUACUAGGUGUGGUUGUUAGCUGUAUCUACUGAGACUGUACUAGAUGUGGUUGUUAGCUGUAUCUACUGAGACUGUACUAGGUGUGGUUGUUAGCUGUAUCUACUGAGACUGUACUAGGUGUGGUUGUUAGCUGUAUCUACUGAGACUGUACUAGGUGUGGUUGUUAGCUGUAUCUACUGAGACUGUACUAGGUGUGGUUGUUAGCUGUAUCUACUGAGACUGUACUAGGUGUGGUUGUUAGCUGUAUCUACUGAGACUGUACUAGGUGUGGUUGUUAGCUGUAUCCACUGAGACUGUACUAGGUGUGGUUGUUGGCUGUAUCCACUGAGACUGUACUAGGUGUGGUUGUUGGCUGUAUCCACUGAGACUGUACUAGGUGUGGUUGUUAGCUGUAUCCACUGAGACUGUACUAGGUGUGGUUGUUAGCUGUAUCUACUGAGACUGUACUAGGUGUGGUUGUUAGCUGUAUCUACUGAGACUGUACUAGGUGUGGUUGUUAGCUGUAUCUACUGAGACUGUACUAGGUGUGGUUGUUAGCUGUAUCUACUGAGACUGUACUAGGUGUGGUUGUUAGCUGUAUCUACUGAGACUGUACUAGGUGUGGUUGUUAGCUGUAUCUACUGAGACUGUACUAGGUGUGGUUGUUAGCUGUAUCCACUGAGACUGUACUAGGUGUGGUUGUUAGCUGUAUCCACUGAGACUGUACUAGGUGUGGUUGUUAGCUGUAUCCACUGAGACUGUACUAGGUGUGGUUGUGUGGGGUAAUGAUGACCCUACAGUAGUUUUUCGGGGAGACUUCAUUUAAUUUAGGAUAGGAGAAUCACAUUCCAUCAUUUCCAUGGUAACCGUUUAGGAAAAACGUGUUGUGUUCCUCUUAUCUCCAUGGUAACUGUGUGUGUGUGUGUGUGUGUGUGUGUGUGUGUGUGUGUGUGUGUGUGUGUGUGUGUGUGUGUGUGUGUGUGUGUGUUU